rnacentral:rRNA from 1 species
GACGAACGCUGGCGGCGUGCUUAACACAUGCAAGUCGAACGGUGACCCUCGGAGCUUGCUUCGGGGUGAACAGUGGCGAACGGGUGAGUAACACGUGAGUAACCUGCCCCUGACUCUGGAAUAAGCGCUGGAAACGGCGUCUAAUACCGGAUACGACACGCCUCCGCAUGGGGGGCGUGUGGAAAGUUUUUCGGUCUGGGAUGGACUCGCGGCCUAUCAGCUUGUUGGUGAGGUAAUGGCUCACCAAGGCGAUGACGGGUAGCCGGCCUGAGAGGGCGACCGGCCACACUGGGACUGAGACACGGCCCAGACUCCUACGGGAGGCAGCAGUGGGGAAUAUUGCACAAUGGGCGAAAGCCUGAUGCAGCGACGCCGCGUGAGGGAUGACGGCCUUCGGGUUGUAAACCUCUUUCAGCAGGGAAGAAGCGAAAGAGACGGUACCUGCAGAAGAAGCACCGGCUAACUACGUGCCAGCCGCCGCAGUAA